UGGUUUUCAUGAUGUAGUUUUUGUUUAAUUCAGUAUGAGAGGGUUUGAUAUGACUGUGGGUGAGAUAUACUGCUUUAGUGAUGAGAAUUAGAGAGGAAGAUUGAUCUCAUUUUUGUGUGUUUGGGUCGUAUGAAGCUACAAUCAGGUUUAUCUAUAUUUUUGAACAACAUAAGGGAUAUUCUGGCAUAAAAUUAAUUUAGGGUCAAACACAUCGUAACACAGAGUUAGACACCCCCUUGACAGAUGAAUGUUGCCGACCGCUUGCUUCUCUAGUUAUACCAACUUUAGUAACGACCGCACGAUAGCAAUACACAGCAGUCUGAGGAGCCAUACACAAACCUCAACCAAAACACCACUCUAUAGUGAUAGUCUAUACUCUUCUGUGCAACGUCUUCGCAGGUAUGCGGGUGCAGCCUUGAGGCAGAAAGCGGGACAUUUCUUAUUUGUUUAGUAGCGGAGUCAACAGAAAAAAAAAAAAUGACAAGGAGUUGUGCUGUUAACUGCAUGAAUCGGCAAAACAAACAACUGGCAAACAUUACAACCCCGCUCCUGAUAUUAGAAACAUCUAAAACAACGUCACAACCUGGUAAACUGAGUGAAAUUCAUGGAUAUUUCAGCUAUUUCAAGUGUUUUUCUGAUUUUGAUACAAUUAAAGACUACGACGGAGAAUGAGGGCCAUAUAAAGGAAAGGAAAAAUUUGAGACCUCGGAAUUACUUACGAGAAUAAAGUCGUAAUAAAAUCAUUUCUUACGAGAAUAAAGUUGUAAUAAAAUCAUUUCUUACGAGAAUAAAGUUGUAAUAAAAUCUUUUUUACGAGAACAAAGUCGUAAUAAAAUCAUUACUUAAUCAUUUUCUUGAAGUAAUAAUUAUCAUAUAAAUCAUUUUGCACUGCAGACGCGGUAGUUCUUCUACCUUAUCAUCUCGGUCUGAUUGCAUUUCCAUGAAGAAAUGAUCAUAAAUGUUCUUCCAUGGACUGGCCCGAGGUCUCGCUACAAACAAGCGGAAGAGAGUAGGUGAGUUGUGUUUAGUCUCUUUGAUAAAGAAAUCAGGCAAAGUUAAAAAGAUGUUUGGUGGCUAGUACUGUGGCUGUGACCCUAUAUGUACUGUUGAUGAAGUUAGGUGCUGUUCUGAGCAUUAUUUAAGGCUAUAGAAUGGCUUUUGGUUUUUGGUUGAGGUUUGUUGACGGCCCCUCAGACCACUGUGUAUCACUACCCUGCGGUUGUUACUGAAAUUGGCAACAUUCAUUUCUUGAGGGGGUGUCUAACUCGAUGUUACGGUGUGUUUGACCCUAAAUUAAUUUUAUUCCGGAAUAUCCCUUUAAUGUGUCAACCCAAUGGACUUAAAGCUGUUUCAGUCACUAUUUAAAUUAAAAACUUCAUCUCAACACUUUGAGGACUUCUUCUUGUGUAAAUAAUUCUUCUGGGAUUAUAAAAAAGAUCAUUUGAGCCUUCUGUUUUUGUCAGACUCCUUUUUCCGUGGACUCCGAUGAACUUUAAUGACAAAUUAAUGACGAUUUUUAGGUCACAUUUCAUUGAAUUAUUCAUUUGCCCAUAUGCUCUGCCAAAGGCAACAGUGUGAUGCCAUUUAGAUGAAUUUUAAACACCCCAUCUUUUUGGGGUUUCUUUGUUAAUGAUUUGCAUUUUUCUGUUUUUCUGUUUCUGUUUUUUUAAGGAGGUAACUUUAAGGACACAUGCUUGAGCGUAUGAGCCACAUUUCUCUACCAAAGCGGCCGUAAAAAACGGGAUUUCUGUAAUGGCAGACUACCAGAACCCCACAUGAUCAUUUUCUGUGACUGCUGAGGCCGUAAAUUUGUCACUUCUGUGUUCUGUUAGUUUACUCUACAAUCCAAACUCUGCGUUUCAGCGUGAUGGGAUCGCUCCUUUAAUUAGGGUUACUCAGACCACUUUUGCACUUCUCAUACCCUGCCUGCGGUGAAUGUCCCCUCCUGUUGAGCUAUUCCAUCUUCACCUCCUCUUGUCAUUACGAGCAGACGACCUCGGCGGUGUCACAACUCGUCUCCUCCUCAUACUUUCAAAGUGGUUUUGGUGUGUCUUUCACACUUAAUCCUGCGCCCUGUGAAGAAACACUCCCGGCUCUGAUUUGUCUCUGCUGAAUCAACACUGUGAUGUCGCCUCCCUGAGCCUGUACGUUUUGUUUUUUCAGCUGUGACAGAGCUAUGUGUACCAUCAGAGUGAUGACCCUUAGAGAUAUGACAGCGUCAGAGUAUGAUGGGCUCACAUGUUUUCACGGUGAGCAAAUGUAGGACACACUCACAAACAUGAAAAAAAAAUGGCUGCCACCCUUGAUUCCUCUCUGGUAUGUCCUCGAGGACACGCCGAAGAGUCUCAAGGUGAAGUGGGGCAGAAACUCCAAACAAGACUGUGUCUGUCUGACUGUGAAAACAGAUUAAAAUGAUUCUGACCACUGGAGCGGGAAUGUGUUGAACCUUGAGCCUCGAUGGGGGGAAACCCGAGGGCUCUUCACACCCAAGCAAAAACCCCCAAAGCGCCCCCUCACACUGAAGAGAGCAUAAAAGGACUGGGAUCAUAAUUAACUGUCUUUGGCCACAGCAACAGUCUCAAUAUUAUUACUUUAUAGAAGUGAGAUUCAUCCUCAAGGGACCAUGACUGUUUUUUUUUUUUGUACUAGCUUAACAAUGUUUGCUGCUAUGACAAUUCUAAAAAUGAGAUAAAAUCUGAUUAUUAAAAAAGGUUGCCCCCUCUGGGCUUCUGUACAUGAACAUAUAUAUGCAGUUUAACAUCCGGAUCAGUGAGAUGGACUUCUACCAUAACUAAACAUCAAAUUUCUUUCAUCAAAUCCAGUGAAAAUAUCAAACACUCAGGUUUGUGUUAAAUUGUGUUUUAGCGUAAUACUGUAAUUAUCAGGGCCAUCAGA